rnacentral:rRNA from 1 species
GACGUAGGGCGCGAGCGUUGUCCGGAUUUAUUGGGCGUAAAGAGCUCGUAGGCGGCUUGUCGCGUCGACUGUGAAAUCCCGAGGCUCAACUUCGGGCUUGCAGUCGAUACGGGCAGGCUAGAGUUCGGUAGGGGAGACUGGAAUUCCUGGUGUAGCGGUGAAAUGCGCAGAUAUCAGGAGGAACACCGAUGGCGAAGGCAGGUCUCUGGGCCGAUACUGACGUGAGGAGCGAAAAGCGUGGGGGAGCGAACAGG